rnacentral:miRNA from 1 species
ACAAGGAUGACUGACUGAGGUAAA